CAACUGAAUCCCAAAUACGUGAACUGUUUGGCUCCGAAGACAAAUGAUGCGCGUCCCUACUCCAAGGAAGCCUAAGCGAUCUGGAUGUGUUUCCAUGGCAACCUUGCUGUUGUUCAUGGGUGUGACGGUUCUGCUGAUCCUGAUCCAACCGGCUGCAGCAGAGCGUCCCGAACGUUCGCUCCUUUCCAUAAUGGAAGACGAUGAGGAUGGGACAGAAGAGAUUGAGGACACCGCAGGUGAGGUCGAAAGGGAUGGAGAGCAUGUCCGUGUGGCACGUUCCCUUCUUUGGCUUUGGGGCACUCGCGUAAGAUGUUAUUGUGUGAGAUACUGCACGAGGAGGAGCUGCAGUGGAUGGUGGUAUAGUCGUCGCUGCAGUGAGACCCGUUACUGCUGCCAGCACAAGUGUGACUUUAUCGUGCACUAAAUACUAGUCAAGCCAAGCAAUGUGUUGGUCUUUCAUAAAUUACUGUAGUAACUGAUAGAUGGAUACACAUUUCGGCUAUUAUCCUGCUGAAAUUCAUAGUAAAAAGCUAACUACAAGCUAUACCUUAAGUUUGACAAGUUUAGCAUGGAUAGAUAUUGAGGAACUGAUAAAUAUUCAUCAGUAUAUAAGCACUUUCUUACUUUAUUUUGAAGCGACUAUAACCAGUACUAUUUAAUGUUAACCUAUGGGUGGUCAGAUUCUUUCAUUUCUCAUAAGCACUCUGCAGACUUGUAAUGUGUUGUCUUCUCUUACAUCAUUUAUCAAUGACUAAAAUCAUAGUGCACAUCAUGAAGUGGUGUCGUAGAAACUUUCCUUACAAAGCCGCUAGAUGUCGCUGUCACAUGGACGAUAAGGCAUGAUCGAAUCAGACAUGACUAAGGUUUUCUGUUGUUCAUUAUACAAUACAGUGAUGAAUAUUAUAUCUAAGUAUUGUUAAAAUUAGAACAUCAUGAUAUGGACUCUGGUUACUAACACGUCAGUUUUGUUUUUAUUGCUAUUUACUGACAUUCUGUGAAAAGUACUGUAGAUUUUGAUUCAUAUGGGUUGAGAGGAAUGACAAGGUUUCUGCACGUACACGUGGCAAUAAAACAUUACUCAACAGCAAUGCCCUAAUAAAUGUUAUCUUUCUCCAUCAAUCCAGUAAAUUGAAUGUUAUCUUUCUCCAUCAAUCCAGUAAAUUGAAUGUUGUCUU